CGCCGGCUUGCUACAGCGGGAGGUGGCCUGGCUCGUCGGCAGUCUGAGCGCGUCCGCGCCCCCCUCCCCGCGUUCGCUCGCUCGCUCAGCGCCCAGCCAGGCGCCUGGGACUUUGCCCCGGGGGGGGGGCUGAGAACAAGGGGAAUGAUCCCCCCCACCCGCAGCAGCUUCGCUCCUCAGGAGACCCCGCUCUGGCGGUAGCGCGCACACCAGGGCCAGCCCAGGGCUUGAGCUUGACUACAACACGCAUUACACGAGGAAAGAACGUGCCAGAGCUGACUUUUCUUUUGAGAGGCAAAAAUGCUGAUGAGCGCUAGCGUUCCUGCUGGAUCACACAGGCGGUGCUGGGUGUUGUGGUGUCGCUGUUGCUGACAACCCGUCACCUGCAUGUGCAUGAAGUACUACUGGCACAGUCAGUACCAACAUCUUGUUCACAGUCUAGUUGACAGCCCAUUAUAUAUAUAUAUCUCCUAUUCUGUUCAUGUCUGUCCAACUGUGGCCAGAUGGGGGGGCGGAAAUUAUGAAGUCCAUAUAGGAUUGCAGAAAAAAGAAAAGUAUUUCCUCAUAGCUGGCACGGAAGUAUUUUAAUACAAUGAUAUUUUGAAGGGGUUUUUUAAUUGCUUUAAAUAUUUAGGAUUUGUUUUGUUUUUUUUUUACUAGUGUGUUUGUUUCCUGAGGUAAAGAGCCAACUCCUGCACUCCAUACUCGGGCAAAACUAUCAUCAGAUUGAACAAAAGAGUAUGGUCUUAUAUUUAGCUUUUCAAAAUGAACAGUACAAGCUGACUUGUGACGUGUUGCCUAAGACAAUCUUAAAUUGGUUCAAUAAGUAUACUACAUAUAUAUAUAUAUAUAAUUUUGAUAAUACUAGCUCAACCACUCUCAGGUUAAGAAAUGUAAGUUCAAAGUUUUGAUCUACCUUAUUUCUUGUUUUGCAAAGUCAUGUACAUCUUUACCUGUUUAUGUUUUAUAAAAUAAAACUUCAGUAGGCUUUUUUUUUUAAGCUAAGACAAAUAAAGGUUAGCAGCUCAUCAAUCUCAAUAGCAAAGCAAAAGUGCAUGCAGGAUGAAUGGAAGACAUUUCUAGCAAGGAAAUAGAUUUUAGUUUUACAUUUCCAAGGCUAUUUACAAAAGAAGUGAAAAUUUUAUUAAGGGUAUUCAGAAAUACUGUUACUGUGCCAUUAUAUGCAAAUACCAUUCAGCAUCAGAGAUGGUUUCAAGUAAAAUGAGAUCCAGAUUUAAUGAAAAUGACAAGAUUUUGUCCCAACUUCACUCAGUGAUAUUGAAUGGGGUCAGGGUAUAAUUUGUCCUAAAAUUGUUAGUAAUAACACAAUACCAUUUUGAGUACAAUAAAAUAGUUUCCUAAACAUUGAUACCCGUCAAAACAUUUUCAGUGCUCCUUCCAUAGGCAACUGUGUUUCCCAUUAAAAUGUAGAUGUUUUAUAUUAAAAUCUGGGCGGGUGGAAAGAAGAAGGAAUCUCUGUAUGGGAAUCUUUGGUUUUCUGGUUUCUGUAGGAUAUUUUCCUUAUGAGAAUCUCUAUUUUAGUAUAUAAUUAAGAGGAAUAUAAUAUAAAUCUAUUUUCAACUACAUCUUAUGCAUAUUCUUUGGAGGGAAUAAGAGAGAAGUGUCAUAAUACAUGGCUUCUUAUCAUUUGUUUCUUUCUUGAGAGAGUUUUUUCCCAUCACGAAGACAACCAGUAGAACAGGAUGAGGUUUAAGAGAUUGAAAGUAGAGCAGAGGUACAAGAAGUCCAGAAGUAGUCCCUCUUCUUCAUAAUUGUUUGCAUAUGUGAUUCACCAAAGGCCUGAACAUGUUUAAAAGGAAGAAUAUCCUGAGUCAAUAUAAUAACGGUUUCACAGGUCCAUUGAAGCCUUAAUCCAGCCUGCACUCUGCAAAGCUGGACUCUGGGUGUUGAAUGUAGCAGAGAGGAUGAAUGAAGAAUCAGCCAAACAAAAGAAAUCAGGGGAGAAAUCUAUAGAGAUAGAGGGUGUGGCGUUCAUAGUUACAUUAAUACAAGGAGAUUAAGGAGGCAAGCAAAUGAGUCUUGUACCAAUGAUGAGGUCCAAGAGAUGCCACCCUUAUGUUGAGUUGUACCUCCCCCCUCAAGGGGUCUAAGGAGAAUUGCCCAACAUCACUUUCUGAAAUGCUCAACAAGGAAGGACCAGAAAUCCAAGAGAAGCCCUUUCAUUCCUGCCAUAGUCGGCAGAUGAGUCAACACCAUGUUGUGAUCAAUGGUGACAAAAGCAAGUGAUAGGUCUAAGAAUAUCAGCGUAAACAUGCUGGGGCUGAUGAUUCUCAUUUAAGCUUAGGCAAUGUCAUGGGGUCACUGCCCAAUCAAGGUACGAUCCAGGCUCCUCUCCUUCUGACUUUGCUUUUUUAAAUUUUCUCAUAAGAGUUAUUAGAUUCAGAAUGUUCUCUAUCCCACCUAGGCUUCAUAAAGCUUUAUACCAUGUCCUCACAAUAAACAAAGUCUUUCACCCUCCGUGCACUUGCUAUAGUGUUUUCCAGGAUUCUGAAUCACUCUUUCAUCCUUGUUCUGACCGUAGUUCUGGGGAGCCAUUACAGGAGUCUUCACUUUCCCCUAUAGUUCCUUCUCCCCAGCCUACUCUGGACUCCUGCCAGAGCCUUUCCAUCCUCUAGCAGUUUUCUCUCAUUUUGUCCUUAUUGAGCAUCCCCACUGAUCUUUAUAGGGGCCAGCUGUCCCUCAUUACACCUGAUGGGCACUGGCUAAUUAGUCCUAAGUAAGCUGAACCACUCACUCUUUAAAGGAGCCAGGCUCACAUGUGACAGGUGCCUUUACAUUACUCUGGCAGUGUAAUAGGGGAUUUAAGGCCCCCUUACACUGCCACAGAGGUGUAAAAGGACCUAAGUGUAACUGCGAAUCAGGUCCCCAGGCUGAUUUAGUAUGAAUCAAGCCUUAUAAAUUAAUAAUUAGAUCAUUUAUCAAUGCCAUCAGUGCAGUCUCUGUUUGGUACUCAGGUUGACACAGGUGAAACAAAUCUGAGGCAUCUAGACACUCUAGUUAUUUUGCCAAAAACUCAAGAAUGGAAUAUUGGAUAAUUGUUAACCAGAUUAUCAGGGCAAGUGUUGAGCAAAGGGCAAAAUCACUUAAUGUUAUAAUAUCUGAAUUUCUACUCUUUGUUUACAAUAAAUAAAAAAAAAAGUUGGGCAAAGGAGUAUGAUCUAAUUUGAUUCAGGGAGGAAUGUAGUCAUGCUUCAAAGCGUGAAGGGUUAUUGACAUAGAAGUCACAAAUGCUUUUCUCUCAUUGUGCCUCCUCUUUUGUAUUCCAUUGGUUAAAUGAUUCUUGCUGACAGUAGCAUGUUGUAAUCUCAUGUCAAAAGCCUGUAACAUCAGAGUUGCUAACACAACUGUCUCCACUGUCCAGUCUAACUAGAUUAACUGGGGAAUAAGACAAGCACUGGGAGAGAUUUCAUGCCUUAUUACAGAUGGCCAAUGGGCAAAGCAAAUUUUCAGAAAAACUCAUUUUUGUUUUUGUCAGCUUUUCAUGGAGAGCUUUUCCCCCAAACCAGCUCUAGUGAAAAGUAAUUAAGAUCAUAUUCAGUUAAAGGAAAAAGGAAAGAACUAUAUUUGUAUGUGUGUACAAAGAUUUGAUGAAUGCUCUGAACAUGCAUUUCUUGGACAAUUAGAAAUAUAGCAUUUUUUUAAAAUUUAUAGUUAGGGCCUUAUUUUCAUUAAUCAGGCAUGCAUUAAUGUGUUCUAUUUAAAUAUAAAAUUAGAUGAGUUUUGUAGUAUGUAUGCAUGCAAGGUAUCCAAAAGUUACUACAAAAUAUAUUCAAAACAGACAUGCAGUUGCACAUGCACAGCUGCCCACAGACUGUACUGCUGAUAAUUUAUCUUGAUCCUGCUCCCAUCAAAGUCAAUGGACUUUCAGUAAGAGAAGACUCAGACUUUUGGCUGCUAUUCCGGUUAAUUUAUUGCUAGAAGUGAUAAUUAUAUUGAAAACAAAAAGUUCAACACUUUUUAAGAGAAUAAAAGCAAACAGUA